AACGGCAGCAUGAUCUAGCUUGCUAGAUUGAUGGCGAGUGGCGAACGGGUGAGUAAUACAUCGGAACGUGCCCUGUAGUGGGGGAUAACUAGUCGAAAGAUUAGCUAAUACCGCAUACGACCUGAGGGUGAAAGUGGGGGACCGCAAGGCCUCAUGCUAUAGGAGCGGCCGAUGUCUGAUUAGCUAGUUGGUGGGGUAAAGGCCCACCAAGGCGACGAUCAGUAGCUGGUCUGAGAGGACGAUCAGCCACACUGGGACUGAGACACGGCCCAGACUCCUACGGGAGGCAGCAGUGGGGAAUUUUGGACAAUGGGCGAAAGCCUGAUCCAGCAAUGCCGCGUGUGUGAAGAAGGCCUUCGGGUUGUAAAGCACUUUUGUCCGGAAAGAAAUGGCUCUGGUUAAUACCUGGGGUCGAUGACGGUACCGGAAGAAUAAGGACCGGCUAACUACGUGCCAGCAGCCGCGGUAAUACGUAGGGUCCAAGCGUUAAUCGGAAUUACUGGGCGUAAAGCGUGCGCAGGCGGUUGUGCAAGACCGAUGUGAAAUCCCCGAGCUUAACUUGGGAAUUGCAUUGGUGACUGCACGGCUAGAGUGUGUCAGAGGGGGGUAGAAUUCCACGUGUAGCAGUGAAAUGCGUAGAGAUGUGGAGGAAUACCGAUGGCGAAGGCAGCCCCCUGGGAUAACACUGACGCUCAUGCACGAAAGCGUGGGGAGCAAACAGGAUUAGAUACCCUGGUAGUCCACGCCCUAAACGAUGUCAACUAGUUGUU
rnacentral:rRNA from 1 species